UACAGAGGUCCCAAGCGUUGUUCGGAUUCACUGGGCGUAAAGGGUGCGUAGGUGGUCGGGUAAGUCUGACGUGAAAUCUCCGAGCUUAACUCGGAAACUGCGUCAGAUACUAUUCGGCUGGAGGGUUGGAAGGGAGACUGGAAUACUUGGUGUAGCAGUGAAAUGCGUAGAUAUCAAGUGGAACACCAGUGGCGAAGGCGAGUCUCUGGACAACUCCUGACACUGAGGCACGAAAGCUAGGGGAGCAAACAGG
rnacentral:rRNA from 1 species